ACGCGAAGAACCUUACCAAGGCUUGACAUACACCGGAAACUUCCAGAGAUGGUUGCCCCGCAAGGUCGGUGUACAGGUGGUGCAUGGUUGUCGUCAGCUCGUGUCGUGAGAUGUUGGGUUAAGUCCCGCAACGAGCGCAACCCUCGUCCUAUGUUGCCAGCGGGUCAUGCCGGGGACUCAUAGGAGACUGCCGGGGUCAACUCGGAGGAAGGUGGGGAUGACGUCAAAUCAUCAUGCCCCUUAUGUCUUGGGCUUCACGCAUGCUACAAUGGCCGGUACAAAGGGCUGCGAUACCGCGAGGUGGAGCGAAUCCCAAAAAGCCGAUCUCAGUUCGGAUUGGGGUCUGCAACUCGACCCCAUG
rnacentral:rRNA from 1 species